GGGUCGUUAGCUCAGUUGGUAGAGCAGCGGACUUUUAAUCCGUUGGUCGCAGGUUCGAGUCCCGCACGGCCUACCA
rnacentral:tRNA from 46 species